rnacentral:sRNA from 1 species
AUUUACCCACGUACAUUCCGGUUCCUCCGCGCCGUCCGCACCCACCUGACGACUGCUCGCUACGUUUUGUUAGCC